UUGGAGGGCAAGUCUGGUGCCAGCAGCCGCGGUAAUUCCAGCUCCAAUAGCGUAUAUUAAAGUUGUUGCAGUUAAAAAGCUCGUAGUUGAAUUUCGGGAUUAGUACGCUGGUCGUGCCUUCGGUACGUACUGGUGUUACUGAUUUCUACCUUCUGACGAACCAUCAUGUCAUUAAUUUGGUGUGGUGGGGAAUCAGGACUGUUACUUUGAAAAAAUUAGAGUGUUUAAAGCAGGCUCACGCUUGAAUACAUUAGCAUGGAAUAAUGAAAUAGGACGUUGAUCCUAUUUUGUUGGUUUCUAGGAUUGACGUAAUGAUUAAUAGGGAUAGUUGGGGGCAUUAGUAUUCAAUUGUCAGAGGUGAAAUUCUUGGAUUUAUUGAAGACUAACUACUGCGAAAGCAUUUGCCAAGGAUGUUUUCAUUAAUCAAGAACGAAAGUUAGGGGAUCGAAGACGAUCAGAUACCGUCGUAGUCUUAWCCAUAAACUAUGCCGACUAGGGAUCGGAUGAUGUUAUUUUUAAUGACUCAUUCGGCGCCUUACGGGAAAC
rnacentral:rRNA from 1 species